rnacentral:rRNA from 1 species
UACGUAGGUGGCUAGCGCUGUCCGGAUUUACUGGGCGUAAAGCGCGCGCAGGCGGUCGUUCAAGUCGAGUGUGAAAGCCCCCGGCUCAACUGGGGAGGGUCACUCGAUACUGAUCGACUUGAAGGCAGAAGAGGGAAGCGGAAUUCCCGGUGUAGUGGUGAAAUGCGUAGAUAUCGGGGAGGAACACCAGUGGCGAAGGCGGCUUUCUGG